rnacentral:lncRNA from 1 species
UAUUUAUUAUACAAGUGGGGAUGGGGGUAGAGGGAGAAGAGAGAGAGUCCCAAGCAGACUCCAUGCUGAGUGGCGAGCCAGAUGCCAGGCUUGGUCCCACAACCUGGAGAUCGCUACCAGAGCUGAAAUGAAGAGUUGGACACUUAACUGACUGAGCCACAGAGGCUCCCCAUAUUACUCCCCCCGCCUUUUUUUAAAGGAUUUUAUUUAUUUAUUUGAGAGAGAGAAGGUCGGGGAGGGAAAGGGAGAGGCACACUCCUCACUGAGCAGUGAGCCUGACGUGGAGCCCCAUCUCAGGAUCCUGGGAUCAUGACCUGAACUGAAGGCAAACGCUUAACUGACUGAGCCCACCCAUGAGCCCCUCUCACUUUUAAAGAUAAGCUAAGGCACAGAAAGACUCAGUAACUUAUUUGCAAUGUCAAACAGCCUACUAGUUUGCAUCUGGAACUCAAACAUAAAAGUAAGUCUGAUUUCAAACCCACACCCUUAGCCGCUAUAAUCAAUUAGGAUGUUUUGGGCUAUAAAAUCCGAAUACCUGACUACAACUGGAUUAAACAAAUAGGGUCUUAUUUUUCAUAAGCAGACCAGUGUUAGAAGACUGCAGGGUUAGCUCAGCAGUUUAACAUCUCUGACAUCCCCUGGUGUUAACAAUGUGUCCUCAAGCUCACAAAAAGGCUGUAACAGCUCCAAGCAUCGAGUCCUCACACAGCAACUUCUCAACUGCACCCAACAGCAGAGUUCUUCCUCAGAUCUCUUUCUUGUCAGGCAGGAAAACCUUCCCACCCCAAACUCCACAUCAAGGGUCAACUUGUGUUUCAUUCACCAGAAUUGAGUCACAUGCUUCACCCUAGACCAAUCAUUGGCAGAGAAUAAAAUUAGUAUAACCAACUACAAUUCAGUCCCUGGGGCUGGACACAAAGUUGCCUUUAUUAGCAGAGAAGAAGGGGAUAUGGCUGUAAGAUGGCCUGGCCCAUUACGUCUGCCUCAACCAUUGGGAAUAUGUGAACUGACUCUCAGGAUCAGGUAAAUUUUACAAAAGCCCUAAUGAGUAAUAGUAACAGAGUAAGAACAAGAGGAUUGUUCUCACGUGGAUGAUAAGCCAGGAAAUGAUUACUAGUACUCAGCCAGAAAUUUCCAUGAACCUAACAUCCCAUUUCCCAGGAUUUCUGGGUCACUUAAUGUUGCUGAUAUCAUUUGUACAGCACUGUACUUUGUACUAUGUGCAUAACGUGCCACAAGUUGUUGCUCAAUAAAACCUUUGUGAAGGCUGAGACCCGAGCUAAGGGAUUAAGCUGCAUUAUUGUUGCCAAUAUCUUUUUCAUGGCAGGAUUCAGUAACCUGUGUCUAAGAUAUAAGGAGAGAUAGUGAUAAAGCCUGACACAGUGAUGCAGUCCCCUUAUUUUUGCAGAGCCCAUUCCAGAUUUGGCCCCUACUCAAGGGCUCAAAGACAAAUCUUGGCAGGUUGCCCAGCCUCAGCUUAACAAUCACAAGUUCAGAGUCCAGCCUCACUAACUACCUGGUCUUGUGCUUUUUGUUUCUUCUGCAUUAACUACAGCAAGGAUCUUUUAAGACUCUUUUCUCAAUUGAAAAACAUUUUUUUUCAUUUGUUUUUUAUCAUGUUAUUUUUUUUAAGAUUUUAUUUAUUUAUUCAUGAGAGACACAAGAGAGGCAGAGGGAGAAGCAGGCUCCCCGUGGGGAGCUCCAUGUGGAACUCAAUCCCAGAACCCCGGGAUCACAACCUGAGCCAAAGGCAGAUGCUCAACCACUGAGCCACCCAGGUGCCCCGGGCAUCCAACUCCUGAUUUUGACUUGGGUCAUGAUCUCGGUGUGGUGGUAUCACACUACUCCUCCCUCAGACUCUACGUCAGCAUGGGGUCAGCUUGAGAUUCUCUCUCUCUCUCUCAUCCUCUGCCCCUCCCUCUUGCUCGCUUGCUAUAAAUAAUUAACUAAUUAAUAAAAUCUUUAAAUAAAAAUAAAGUAACCUGUGUCCUUUCUUCCACAAACCUCCUCUUUUCCCUUCUUAGCCUUUUAUUUCUGGAACCCAGGACCACCCUGAAAAGGACUAACAGGAUGAAGGAGGCUGGCAGCCUAUUCAGUUCCUGUUGAAACCAGCCAGAUCCUGUACUUCCCUAUAAACUCCCCAGGCCCUACCUGGGGGUGGCAGUGGUGGUGGGAGGGCUUACAGUUUUUGAAGGCCAUAGCCUGCUGCAGCCUCUUGAGCCCCACAAAGCAGUAAAGCUAUUGUUCCUCUUUAUCCCAAAUUCUGUCUUUGAGUUAUACUUUGGCCCUGAAGUACAGAGGUUGGUUUUUGACAACACCCCCACAAUGGACAGUAGUGAGAACACUUGUCUGCCUUUUAUCAUCGCGAUACUCCCAGUGACAAGGACAGUGCCCGCUGCUCAGGGUGCCCUCAAUAAAUCCUUAGUAAAUUAACAAGUAAAUUCUCAAGUUAAACAGUCUAGAGUCAGAACAUAGACGUGUCUUAAUACUGGUUUUUCUCUGUGCUUUUAGGGUCUUAUACACUAUCACUGUGGUUGAUGCUUUCUGUUAAGUCUCUUAGAAAACAAGAAUCUCUCCAUUCACUUCAGGCUAUUACUAAAUACCCCCCUGCAUGCCCCUUCUGAUUCUAUGUGCUUAAUGAAUUGAUAAGAUUGCAUUCGCAGGGCUUAUUUUGAAAUGCUUUGAAUUUCAUGCACAAGAAAUGUCUACUUGUUUUUCUCCCUAAAUCUUACCAAGUUGGGGAAUAAAUUUCAUGUGUGAGAGCCCAAGAAACUCUUCCUUCUGUCUCAGGUCCCUGUCACUUUGGGAAUGCAUGGGAAAGUCAGCUUUAUUUCUACUGUGUUCCAGUUCACUUUCAUUCCAACAGAGAAAACAAUCUUCCUUUUUAUUUUCUAAGUGACUUCCCAUGGUUUGAAAACCUCUCACAAUGAAAAGUCAAGUAAGAAAAAAAAAAUAAGAAGAGUUACAGUGAAUGUGAAUGAGAAAAUUACCAUUUUUAUUGUCCUCUUGGUUCUCAAAUGAGAAGAUGGAAUCCUGUGAACUGACCUCUCUUCAUCUCACACUCUCUGGAAUGUGCUUUGCAUCCAGCAUGGCAGAAGGACCCCAUCCUUCUCUUUCCAUUCUCUCUGUUAAUGUUUGCAUAACUACUAGCAGAAAAGUCUUCUCGGAAGUCCAAAGCCAAGAGUAAAUACAUCAGACUCUAACCCAGUAUGUAUGGCAAAAUAAAAUCUAUUUAAAUGGUAGUGAUGACUAAACACAGUGCCACUCAUGAGCUGUGGAAGACAAUGCUACCAUUGUCUUAUGGAAAUAAUGUGUAUACAGCACAUUGUUCUCCUUGAAUCAGUUAUUGUCAGCACAUAUUUAUGUCUGUUCAUUAAUUUAUUCUUCCUUUACAAAUUUUCUGAUAUCUUUCUCGCCUCUUAAAAAUAUAUCUGGAGGGGCACGUGGGUGGCUUAGUUGGUUAAGUGACUGACUCUUGAUAUCAGCUCAGGUCUUGAUCUUAGGGUGGUAAGUUCAAGAACUGCACUGGGAUCCACUGGGCAUGGAGCCUACUUUAAAAAAAAA